GUAGUUUUUGUUAACUGAUUUUAUGUUUUUUAUUUUAAUCUCCAGAGAGAUUGCUCCUUCAGUGCCCAAAUUUGGAAAGUGUGCAUGCAUUUGGUUGCCAAGAUAUGUUGGUUGAAACCAUUCAAAACCAGGUCUCUAGUGAAUCUGCUGCUGUGGAAAACCAUUUUCCUUAUAGGCGAUUAGGUGAUGGAUCCAAGAGGGUUCGAGUCCCACUUUUUCUCGGCCAACAGGAAUCUGACGAUGGCAAAAGGGGAAGGAGGGUAUUUAAAAGACAGUGCACUGUGAUCAUGGAUUAAUGGAAGAUGUGUCCUUCGAUGUUAUUUUUGACUUGGCAGUAAUUUCGUGUUGCCAUGUUAGAUCCAAAGGGCAUAUAUUAAGGGUCAAAAUUGUUUCUGUAAUUGUUCAAAAUUGUGGUUGUAGACUUAUUGACCGUAGAUAAUGCCUUUUCCUUCAUCACAACUACAGCCCUUUAUAAUUUUAUUUUUUAUUUUUUGUUUUUAUAAUCAUGGGGGUGAAAAAAAUCCGAUGAUCAACUUUAUUUUUUGUGUUAAAUUCACCAGUCAUAAA